rnacentral:rRNA from 1 species
UCCGUAGGCAGCAAGCGUUGUUCGGAGUUACUGGGCGUAAAGGGCGUGUAGGCGGUUGUUUAAGUUUGGUGUGAAAUCUCCCGGCUCAACCGGGAGGGUGCGCCGAAGACUGAAUGACUAGAGUGCGGGAGAGGAAAGUGGAAUUCCUGGUGUAGCGGUGAAAUGCGUAGAUAUCAGGAGGAACACCGGUGGUGUAGACGGCUUUCUGGACCGUAACUGACGCUGAGACACGAAAGCGUGGGUAGCAAACAGG